CACAGAUUAGGCUGGAAUUAUCGGAGGAGCGAGCGUCUCCUUUAAUCUCUGCUUUGAUCUGAGUCGUGUUAUUGCUGUUUUCCUCCUGCUGAAGGAGCCACUCCGCACCUUGACUGUGCAGCUUCUUAACCGCAUCACAAAAUGGAUUUAUACACGACUGCUACACAGAAUGCGCCAAAUGCAAAUACACAGGCGUCAUCAGGUCUGGGUUGAGACCUGAUGAAGAGGCGACGCUCCACACAGGUGAAUUCAUCUUCAGUCACACAGACAUUUGCAAAUGGAAAAGUAAAUUAUAAUUGAGCGAGUACAGUAGGUGAUAAGAAUGUGACCUAGAGGUAAAUAUUACAGUACAUCACAGUAACACAAACCUGAAGCAGAUUCAGUUUGACUAAUGCCACAUCACAAAAUAAUCGUUUCAACUUCACAUUUUGCGGUCAAGACCUGAGAGACUUAAGAAGAGAGAAACCCGAAGGUCCCUCCAGAGCAAACAGAGUGGAACCAGAGUGGAAAGAGCAAGAGCUCUUAAACAGAAGCAGAGUCCAGCGGAGCCGGGCUCAGGGUCGGCAGCCGCCAGGAGGAUGUGGAGAAAGAAAGAUGACGGGAAACAACAGCAGCAUCAGGGAGCGCGGCCUGCGUGAGCAGGGAACUAUACAGGAGCCGCUCGUUAAAAUAUAAGCAAUGCCACGCGCAUUCUCCAUGAUAAUGAAUGAGUGGCUGCUUAAACAGAAGAAGGCAACACUGAGAUUUUAUUCAUUUGACUUCACUAACGCUCACCCAUGCAUGAAAUAGCUGUAAUUGGAAACUGUGGAUGACGGUGGGGUUUUUAAUCUGUAUAUAAGGCAAAUAUGGCUCUCAUUGUUGGUGACGAUGAUCUUCUAGCUGCUGCUUUCCAGCUAAUUACCUUGCGAUGUUCCACGUACACAGUGCAGUCUGACAGCAGGUAAUUAGGCCCAGAGGAAGACCUUACGGCCCACGGCAGCUGCUGGUACCAAGCAGCCCUUCCAGCUCAAAGUUCAGGACUCCAGGCAGCGACUAAGCAGGCAGGUCAAACCCAGGCAAGAACACAGUGAGUCAGAGGCUGGAGAAGAAAAGUUAGGAAACAGGGGAAGAGCAUCGACUACCAGGCAGGACAGCACAAACCCACUGGGGCUGAUGAGUAAUGGGGGUCAGUGGAGGCAGCUAGUGGGCAGGUGAGGAACAGCAGGUGCUCCUCAUGUGACUCACACCUGUGCCUCCUCUACAGGCGCUAUCAGUAAUGAGUAACCGUGAGUCAUGGCUGUGCUGCUAAUAUAAAACCAGGAGGGUCGAAGUCCUGUGUGUGUGUGUGGGGCCAUCAGAGAAAUCUUCUCUCUCCAGAAAACGCCUACCUGAGAAAUCGCAUCCAUCGACUCUAACGGCUGCAACCAGUCAAGUGCACGACACGCGUGAGUGCAUGAAAUGUGCAGUUAUCAGCUUAAACAAACUCCAGAAGCAACCUCCUCUGAAAUUCCUAGCUUCCAACAUUAGGCCUGGAGCUCAAGGGCUUCAGGCUUUGACAAGCUGCCGUUGGACUUCCACCAGCGGCCCCCUGCUGGGCUCCAUCCUAAACCAGCUUCAGAGGCCUCCUUUGUUUUCUAACCAUCAGUCCAUUAAAAUCCCAGCGUGACACUGUGGGAGCACGCAGAGGUUGCUGGGGAUGAGACCGCGCCACCUUAAACACAGCGCCGCCUUAAACAGCCCGCGUUCAAUGGUGCUUUUUAGGACGCGGCGGGGAGCCGCUGGCCAUAAUCAGGGGGGUCCAGGCGGCAGUCAGGUGUGAAGCGUCUGACAGACAGCGAGGAAGUGCGUGGGACCAGUACCACCACCCGCCGCUUCACUGGAACACUGUGGGGGUGGAGGGACAGCUGCAACAAACACCAGGAGAGGAGGAACCAGGAAGUCGGCGUCUGCGAAGGCGUGAGAUCAACAAAACCCCACCGUCAGGAAUGCGUCGCGUUCGUCCCCGCGUGUGAAUGAGCAGCGUCCUCUUCUACUGCGGCAUGCGUUAAAUGUACAUUGCACAUUAUUUAUGCAUAUAUUCAGCCUGUUGUCCUUUAAAUAUGCAAAUUGUGCUGCAAUGACCGCAUUCAUCAAACGGCCUCAGCCGUAACGACCACAUUGUUCCCGCUGCUGGAACGGGGAACACCUGUAUCCCGGUCUGUGUGCGAUCUGUGCAGCUUCUUCUGUUUUAAAUCCAGAUUUAUGACUUCAGCCCUCAGUGCGUGAAGCAUUUAGCGCUCUCCGUCUACAACUGGAACCAGUAGGUUCUAAAAUGACGCUCUUUAUAUUUGCAUGGCUGCUUCUGAUAAUGGGCGAGGUUUGUGCCGGGCCCAUGACCACCCUGCUCCGUGGCCCCUCAGCGGGAGAGUCAUUCAUCAGGGCUCCUCACGCCGCGACUCUGCCGCUUCAGGCCUCUCCCACUUUAUUUUCCCUACAUGAACACAUCCAGGGAAGAUUUCCAGCCCGCGCUCUUUCCUUCUCCAUUGUCGCUCGCACGUGCGGCCCCGUGUUCCGCCGCUAAUUAGAAGGUGGAGGAGAUCACAUGCACGAUGACAAAUGAAUCCCCACAAGGCUGCUGCUAGAGAUUACACCUCUCAGUGUAAACACGCAACCGCUAACAUGCCUCAGAAGAUGACUUUUGUCUGCUGCUAGCUCAUCCCAUAGACGGUUGAUACAGUAGACUAGUGCUGAGUUCAGCUAAUGAGUAAUAGAAACCGAAAAUAGAACAGAGACACAGUCAGCUGCGAAUAGCGGAGACACUAUGGAUCAUAAAAAGUCCUGUACUGUACGAAAUAACUGCUUAAUUAUAAUUUCCAGCAAGUGAAAAUCGGAACGUUGGCCUGAGUUGCUGUGGUGCUGGAGAGAGCAACAUGUGCGGCCGCUCCCGUGCUGCUUGAGCUCUAAUCUGAGUCUAUUUCUUCCCGUCGCCACGCUGAGGACCCGUGGAUCCGCGCUGACCCGCCUGCGGUGGACGCUGGGGUCUCUGCACGACGGCUCCUCUUCUCUGAGGAGGAGCUCCAGCAAAACAUGACCUUUACCGCAGACACGUAACAGCAGAUCCUGACAAAGCCUCUUUGGAUCCCCCACUUGGUGGAUUGGCCGGUGAAGACCAGCGAGCGUAUGCUUGGGCAGCAUCAGCUGACGGGGCUUACGGGAGCCUCGUUGGAAACACACUCCAUCACGCUGCCACCUCCACUGAUGUUCGCCUGACACCGGCUCCUUUCUCCCCGAAGUGCUGCUUAAAUCACUGUGUCCACCUGGAUUCUCGACUGCGGCGCGAACGGAGCCGCUGGCAUUUCGCCCGACAGUUACUGUCAUUCACACUGGGGAGAAUAAAUGACUCCAAACAGGAAAAAAAAAAGUUCAACCCAGACUUCAUUUACACAAAGAAACAGCCGCUAUAUUUCGCUGAAACUGUGCCCUCUAGAAAAGCGGCGGCAUCAGUCAUUUCAGCGAGUCUCUACAACCUGUGUUUAUGUUCGAGCGGCGACGGCCUGUGGCUGCGAGAAACCCCAUCGCUGUCACGAGUUCUAUGGACGAGUCAGAGAGCGCAGAUAGUGACAGAUGUCUGGUUCCCGACACUAAACAGUGAACACAUCCUUUAACAAACCGGACCCACUCUCUCAGUCAGUCACUGUACUUCUUACAGGUUCAUACAAAAGACUAGUAGAAUAAUAGGUUGGUAAAAUCACACUGGGCUGUUUCAAGUCACCUAAAAGCCCCACAGUCACUUACAGUUAGAAUGUGAAUAAUGUCUUGUUUUGACAAGCUCCAACACAAAAGACCUUCUAAUUUUACCCUUUUCCCCCAUUUCCAACUUUGUUUAACUAGUUACGCUGAACUAAACAUUGGAGCCGAGAGAACGGGGAAACAAAGCAAAUAACCUGCGAAGUGCACGAGGACGAGGCGAGUACUGGGAAUCGGUGUUUGUGCACCGUUUAUCUGAUUUGUCUCAGGACGAUGUAAAAAGCAGAGUUUGCUUCGAUCUGAUAAUCAGGGUACUAGGAAAAAGACUAAUGAACUGCUCACAGGAAGUCUGCUGGUUUCCCAGUAAGAGCCGCGCAGGGGAGUGGUCUCUGAUCAGCGCUAAUUGGCCUUCUAAGGCCUGAUUAAUGCAUCGACAGGCCAGCGGAGUAAUUGGUUGCCUUCAGUCGGGCUGGAGUCAUCAGCGACCUAGCAAAACAUCGGCAAGUGUGAUUCAUCAACGCUUUCAUCACAAUACAGAUCAAUGGAGAUUGUUUGAUGGGUGAUUAGUCGUCAAUUCAAUCACACGCAGACGGCCCUGAAAUGACACCAGCGGUCGGUUCCAGAUGCGGGUGAGGGAUCGGGCCAAAACAACUGACAAAGACACAAAAGAUGAUGCGGAUGCUUCACAAACACAGGGAGUUAAUCCACUGUCAUUCUUCUAUUCACGUCGCACUAAAUCUCUGUUAUGUUGCCGCUAACGCAAAGCAAACAUUUUCUGCAUCUGAAGACGAGCGACGCGUCAAAGGAUGCGGCGCCGCUGUCGCCACGGUUACCGCAGGUCUCGACGGCGACGCGAGCGGCUCGAGGAGCAUCCGACUGGUGUUAAACUGCGCGUCAGGUGUUGUCAAAGCUACCUGAGCUGAAACAGUAGCAGGAAUGAGGCUUCAAAGUUGAAAUGUGCUGCGGGGAACAGAGAGCGCCAGCGCAACAAACCAGGACGGAUGCUCUGAUGUGAAUCUGCCUGACGGGAAAUCUUCUCAGCGUUGCAGGCUAAGAGAGCGGUGACGACACAGUUCGUUAGCGCGUGUGGAUCUUGGCUCGCCGCGGCCGCCAUAUGUCGGUGGAUCAGCAGAAAACUGGACAGAGACUGAAAUAACCGGCGCAAAGCGCUAAACCACUUGGCCCGCUCACCGAGAGCAGAUUAGUCACAUAAUCACAGGCUAAUAAUGCCCCAAUCUGCAAGAUUAGUAUAAAAUCAUGUUAAUCUGCGGCAGCGAUGCUUUUGUCUUGGUUGCGAACAACUGUGCCCUGUUGGAGGAAGGAAGUUGGUUCAAGUUGGUUCAUUUUCUAGUGUUGGAUGGAAAAGGUAUUGGUGCUGAUUAAA